rnacentral:rRNA from 1 species
UAGGGAAUAUUGGACAAUGGGGGGAACCCUGAUCCAGCCAUGCCGCGUGGAGGAAGACUGCCCUCUGGGUUGUAAACUCCUUUUAUAUGGGAAGAACCGUCCUCAUUGAUGAGUGACCUGACGGUACCAUAGGAAUAAGCACCGGCUAACUCCGUGCCAGCAGCCGCGGUAAAACGUAGGAGGCGAGCGUUAUCCGGAUUUACUGGGCGUAAAGCGCACGCAGGCGGCUCUGUUAGUCGGACGUGAAAGCUCUCGGCUUAACCGGGAGAGGCCGUUCGAUACUGCGGGGCUUGAGGUAGGGAGAGGAAUGCGGAAUUCCCGGUGUAGUGGUGGAAUGCGUAGAUAUCGGGAGGAACACCUGUGGCGAAAGCGGCAUUCUGGCCCUCACCUGACGCUGAGGUGCGAAAGCGUGGGUAGCAAACA